rnacentral:tRNA from 1 species
UGAGGUAUGACGCAGNGGUUAGCGUACCGUGCNUUUAACACGGGAGUCCUAGGUUCGAAUCCUAGUGCCUCAACAA